CAGGAUUGCAGCCUCUCUUUCUCCUUGCUGCAGGAUUUCACUAUCUGAAAACAACUCAAAAUGCGACAACCUUGAAAUGGAACUAAUUUUUCUCAGAUUAAGGAUGGAGAAAAAGUUAUUUUCUAGGGCGCCGUCCAUCUUCUGACACCACUGUAGAGCCGUCCAAGACCACUGGUCGAACCGCGUCCCCCUGGUCCGGCUGCCUGGCCAGCUCCUCCAGGUCCAGAUAUCUGAACCCAUCAAGGAGUGGUGGCGGCAGAUGUGCAGGAGCAGGCUUUGUGACCACACAGGUGCUGACUGGUCCCAACUCUGAAGCAAGAGAAGCUGAGGCAGCCCCAGGCCAGGCAUGGCGACAGCGAUCCCUGUCUUCCCACCUUCUGCAGGAGAUUUCAAUGUUCAAAUAUCUUCUGUGUUUAUUCGGCAAUGGUGACAGUAGAUAAGAGUUUUAAAGUAGCCUUCCUUGCAACAUUAAAAC